AGUGUCUCUCGCGCAAACUAUUCAGUUUAGAAAAAAAUGAUAUUAGAAACCUCAAUAUCAUUUUUGAACACCUAUCCAUAGAUACCCCACACGUAUGGGUUUGAUGAAAAAAAAUUUUUUGAGGGAUUUAUGACGUAUUAAAAAAAACUACUUACUAGAUCUCGUUCAAACCAAUUUUCGGUGGAAGUUUGCAUGGUAAUGUAUAUUAUAUAUUUUUUUUAGUUUUAUCAUUCUCUUAUUUUAGAAGUUACAGGGGGGGGGGCACACAUUUUACCACUUUGGAAGUGUCUCUCGCGCAAACUAUUCAGUUUAGAAAAAAAUGAUAUUAGAAACCUCAAUAUCAUUUUUGAAGACCUAUCCAUAGAUACCCCACACGUAUGGGUUUGAUGAAAAAAAUUUUUUUGAGUUUCAGUUCUAAGUAUGGGGAACCCCCAAAAUUUAUUGUUUUUUUUUUCUAUUUUUGUGUGAAAAUCUUAAUGCGGUUCACAAAAUACAUCUACUUACCAAGUUUCAA